rnacentral:rRNA from 1 species
GACGAACGCUGGCGGCGUGCUUAACACAUGCAAGUCGAACGGAAAGGCCCUGCUUUUGUGGGGUGCUCGAGUGGCGAACGGGUGAGUAACACGUGAGUAACCUGCCCUUGACUUUGGGAUAACUUCAGGAAACUGGGGCUAAUACCGGAUAGGAGCUCCUGCUGCAUGGUGGGGGUUGGAAAGUUUCGGCGGUUGGGGAUGGACUCGCGGCUUAUCAGCUUGUUGGUGGGGUAGUGGCUUACGAAGGCUUUGACGGGUAGCCGGCCUGAGAGGGUGGACGGCGUCAAUAGGACUGAGGGACGGAGCAGACUCCUACGGGAGGCAGCGGGGGGGAGUAUUGCGCAGUAGGGGGAAGUCAGAGGCGGCGGCGCCGCGUGCGGAAUGACGGCUUACUGGUGGAAAACAGCUUUGGCCUGAGACGAGGCGUGAGUGACGGUAAUGGGUAAGAAAGCACCGGCUAACUACGUG